GUGUGAAGGCUGGGGAGGCAUAAUUUUAAAGCAGGUUGGAGGAACUCCUGCAGGCAGACAGGAACUUGUUGGAAUUCUCCAUCCGUUCUCUUCUCAGUGCCAAGAUAAUUAUCUUAAAUUUAGGCAGAAUGGUUUAAAUGCUGUUACAGCUGCCUGGUGACUUCCUGUUUCUCCCUUUUGUCAUCUAACUUAAUGAUUCUCAAACUUUAUGUACAUAAAAAGUCCUUCUCAGGUUUGCCUCCACAAAACUGCGCUCCUGUUCCCACAUGUGACUUAGGGGUCUUGAGAGGUAAUUUUCCCUUGCCCACGAACUUUGAAGCCUAACCCCUGAAUAAGAUUCAGGGGCACCAUAGGAUAGUCCUUUGGGGAUCACUGGGUGAACAUGGCAGGAAGGCAGCAAGGGUUCCCCAAAACAGGUCUCGCCACACUGGCAUACUGCUCGUUUGCUUUGUGAUGAGGGGACCAGACGGCAGCCGAGUGGAUGCUGUGGAGACAGCCUGUCUAACCUGCGAAGCAUGUGACAGUGUUACAGUUGUAGCUGAAAGGGAGAAAUGUGGCAUGGCCUUCAUAGGACAGCAGGGUUGAUUGGUCACUUGUUCCAUCACAGUGUCUGAAGACAUCAGUUUCACCUGGUGAUGGGGCCUCUCAAGUCGGGCCAACAGACUCUUCCCUGGGCCCUGUGCUGUUCAGCACUGUUUUUAUAGUCACUGCUCUGAAAUAAAAACCUCAGCACCCCAAGUACUAGGAAUGCAUUAGAUGAUGGAACCAGAAGCCAGGAAGGCCUCAACAGAUUAGAAUCAAGAGACAAACUAAACAGAUGAUUUAGUAGGAGAACUCCAAAGUUGUGGUUCUGGGGCUGUGCAUGUUGAGGUCUGGAUGGAGUAGAUGUGCUGAAUGGCUGUGUCCUAACAGAGCUGACCACCAGCCAGAAGUCCAGGCCCAGCACCACCCCCACAUCUCGGUCUCUGCUCCCUGCGUUGGUCCCUGCCAUCCACCUGCUCUGCUGCCAAUAGAAAGAUCUGACAGAAAGUCAGCCCUGUUACUCUUUGCCUAAAACCUUCUGCAGCUCCCAUUACCUUCAGGAUGUCCCCUAAAUUCCUCAGCAUGACUUUGCAGGCACUUCAUGAUUGGGAAGGCAGCGGGAGAUGAGGGGUGAUGGGUAAUUCUUUUCAUUUUACAGUGUUCUGUAGGUUUGAUUUUUUUUUCUUUUUUCUUUUUUUUACCAUGAGCUAAAGAUACUCUUAGCAUUGAGAGAGAGAGAAAUGUAUCUUGUCCCGGUUUCUUUCAUCCUUUGUCUGAUGGCCAGGAGCUUGUCAUGACUCAUUUUGUCUAACUUCCCCAUCUCACUGCUCUGUCCCCUUGAGGUCAGUCUCCCCUUGCCAAGGAGUGAUACUGUCACAUCCCCAAAUGAAUCUUUGCUUUUAAUCAGCGCUCCUUCAAAAGCAGGUGAGAACGGCUCCUGUCAUGCAUCCACGUUUCAUAAUUUGCACAUUUGGUAAUGAUGCUGGGAGAGCUUCGCACAGAGGAGAGGGAACCCCGAAUUGUGUGCAUAAGGCUUUGGGCUUCCUAAUGGGCUGUAAUUCUGCUCUUGGCAGGACGGCUACGAGCAGCUUAGGCAGCUCUCCCAGCACGCCAUGAAGGGGGUCAUCCGUGUGAAGUUUGUCAAUGACCUCGGGGUGGACGAAGCAGGGAUUGAUCAAGAUGGUGUUUUUAAGGAGUUCUUGGAAGAGAUCAUCAAGAGAGUUUUUGACCCAGCACUCAAUCUGUUCAAGACAACCAGUGGGGAUGAGAGGCUGUACCCCUCACCCACAUCCUACAUCCAUGAGAAUUACCUGCAGCUCUUCGAGUUUGUGGGGAAGAUGCUGGGGAAGGCUGUGUAUGAGGGAAUUGUGGUGGACGUGCCAUUUGCAUCCUUCUUCCUGAGCCAACUGCUUGGGCACCACCACAGCGUCUUCUAUAGCUCGGUGGAUGAACUGCCUUCUCUGGACUCCGAGUUCUAUAAAAACCUCACCUCCAUCAAGCGCUAUGAUGGGGACAUCGCUGACCUGGGCCUGACGCUGUCUUACGACGAGGACGUCAUGGGUCAGCUUGUUUGCCAUGAACUGAUUCCUGGAGGGAAGACCAUUCCUGUUACAAAUGAAAAUAAAAUUAGCUACAUCCAUCUGAUGGCACAUUUUCGAAUGCACACUCAAAUAAAAAACCAAACAGCUGCCCUCAUUAGCGGAUUCCGUUCCAUUAUCAAACCCGAGUGGAUCCGAAUGUUCUCAACUCCUGAACUGCAGCGUCUCAUCUCUGGCGACAAUGCUGAGAUUGAUCUGGAAGAUUUAAAGAAGCACACAGUCUACUACGGUGGUUUCCAUGGAAGUCACAGAGUCAUCAUCUGGCUCUGGGAUAUUCUGGCCUCCGACUUCACACCGGAUGAGAGAGCUAUGUUUCUGAAGUUUGUGACCAGCUGCUCCAGACCCCCGCUCCUGGGAUUCGCCUACCUCAAGCCUCCAUUCUCCAUCCGCUGCGUGGAGGUGUCGGACGAUCAGGCUGUGCACGUCCAGGCUCGCUGCUUCAUUUCCUCAUUGGCCAAAGGAGAAGGAAAGCCUUCAGGGUUAUGGAGCUCUGUGUGUCUCAAGCCUGGCCCACUGUGGGUGCUCAAAUGAGAGUCCUACUCCCCAUAAAAACCCAGUGGCCGCCUCUGGGUGUAACUGCCUCUCAUGAUGCAGUUUGAGCCGGUGAUGCCACCUUGUACAGGGAGCUACACAGUCCUCGGCCUCCAUGCUUAAGGGAAAGUUGGCCCAAGUCAUGGUCUGCCACCGGCCACAGCACCAGUGAGGAGGGAGGAGUGCAUUCAGAAAUGUUUGGGCACCUAACAGUUUUUACAGCAUUCUACUUUUUGACAAUUGGUUAACCAGUAAUUCGCUGUGAACCGGAAGGCCCCAUUUCCAAAAGCUUACUUAGUGCAGGAAUUCUCUGUGCAGGCCCCAGGGAGAAGGGGUUCCUUCUCUGGAAGCCAGUCGUCUUGUGUCUGGGGCUUGACCUUGGGUAGUGGUGCCAGGGCAGCGCCCUGCACUCUGCCCAGCAUCCAGGGACUGGCCAGAUCCCCUCCCUGGGCUCCCUGGCCUUGGCAUCUGCCUGGGCUCCCAAACUAGGCCCUUCCCAAUUCAAGGCCACGAUGUGUGCCUUCAGGACACCGGGGACACUCUGGGCAGCGUCCUCCGGGGCUUCUUCACCAUCCGCAAGCGGGAGCCAGGCGGCCGCCUGCCCACCUCCUCCACCUGCUUCAACCUGCUCAAGCUGCCCAACUACAGCAAGAAGAGCGUCCUCCGCGAGAAGCUGCGCUACGCCAUCAGCAUGAACACGGGCUUCGAACUCUCCUAGCUCCUGUCCCAGCCCUGCCUCCAGGGCUCCUGGGCUGCCAGGGACCUUCAGCUCCCAGAGGCAGUGUGGUCCCUGGGAAUGUGACCAACAUGCCAGGUGACGUUGGCCCCUAGACCCUCUCUAUAGCCAUGAGACUCCUUGUGGCCUCAAGAACUUUAGACGCCCACGACAGCACUACACAGCAUCUCCAGGUGAUGCCCAAGGCACAGGGCUGCAGAAAAUAAACCUCCAGAUUCCACCAACACGGGUCCAUUCUUCCUGGUGAUGGCAGAGGGGCUUCUUUUAGCUAG
rnacentral:sRNA from 1 species